UACGAAGGAUUCGAGCGUUAUCCGGAUUUAUUGGGUUUAAAGGGUGCGUAGGUGGACUAAUAAGUCAGUGGUGAAAGCCCGGAGCUCAACUCCGGAACUGCCAUUGAUACUGUUAGUCUUGAGUACAGUUGAGGUGGGCGGAAUGUGUCAUGUAGCGGUGAAAUGCUUAGAUAUGACACAGAACACCGAUUGCGAAGGCAGCUCACUAAGCUGUAACUGACACUGAGGCACGAAAGCGUGGGGAGCAAACAGG
rnacentral:rRNA from 1 species